GCCGGGGUGGUGAAACUGGCAGACACGCUGGACUCAAAAUCCAGUGAGGGCGACCUCGUGUGGGUUCGACUCCCACCCUCGGCA
rnacentral:tRNA from 1 species